rnacentral:rRNA from 2 species
GGGUUGUGAGGUUAAGCGACUAAGCGUACACGGUGGAUGCCCUGGCAGUCAGAGGCGAUGAAGGGCGUGCUAAUCUGCGAUAAGCGCCGGUAAGGUGAUAUGAACCGUUAUAACCGGCGAUACCCGAAUGGGGAAACCCAGUGUGAUUCGUCACACUAUCAUUAACUGAAUCCAUAGGUUAAUGAGGCGAACCGGGGGAACUGAAACAUCUAAGUACCCCGAGGAAAAGAAAUCAACCGAGAUUCCCCCAGUAGCGGCGAGCGAACGGGGAGGAGCCCAGAGCCUGAAUCAGCAUGUGUGUUAGUGGAAGCGUCUGGAAAGGCGCGCGAUACAGGGUGACAGCCCCGUACACAAAAGCGCAUGUGCUGUGAGCUCGAUGAGUAGGGCGGGACACGUGGUAUCCUGUCUGAAUAUGGGGGGACCAUCCUCCAAGGCUAAAUACUCCUGACUGACCGAUAGUGAACCAGUACCGUGAGGGAAAGGCGAAAAGAACCCCGGCGAGGGGAGUGAAAAAGAACCUGAAACCGUGUACGUACAAGCAGUGGGAGCACAGGUUUACCUGUGUGACUGCGUACCUUUUGUAUAAUGGGUCAGCGACUUAUAUUCUGUAGCAAGGUUAACCGUAUAGGGGAGCCGGAGGGAAACCGAGUCUUAAUUGGGCGUUAAGUUGCAGGGUAUAGACCCGAAACCCGGUGAUCUAGCCAUGGGCAGGUUGAAGGUUGGGUAACACUAACUGGAGGACCGAACCGACUAAUGUUGAAAAAUUAGCGGAUGAUCUGUGGCUGGGGGUGAAAGGCCAAUCAAACCGGGAGAUAGCUGGUUCUCCCCGAAAGCUAUUUAGGUAGCGCCUCGUGAAUUCAUCUCCGGGGGUAGAGCACUGUUUCGGCUAGGGGGCCAUCCCGGCUUACCAACCCGAUGCAAACUGCGAAUACCGGAGAAUGUUAUCACGGGAGACACACGGCGGGUGCUAACGUCCGUCGUGAAGAGGGAAACAACCCAGACCGCCAGCUAAGGUCCCAAAGUCAUGGUUAAGUGGGAAACGAUGUGGGAAGGCCCAGACAGCCAGGAUGUUGGCUUAGAAGCAGCCAUCAUUUAAAGAAAGCGUAAUAGCUCACUGGUCGAGUCGGCCUGCGCGGAAGAUGUAACGGGGCUAAACCAUGCACCGAAGCUGCGGCAGCGAACGUAUCACCCAAGACAACUUUACGGAGUUGACGAUUGACGGAGCGAAGCGACGUCAAAGCGUUCAUUAAAGUCGAGUUGGCUUAGGGAUACGUUCGUUGGGUAGGGGAGCGUUCUGUAAGCCUGUGAAGGUGUGUCGUGAGGCAUGCUGGAGGUAUCAGAAGUGCGAAUGCUGACAUAAGUAACGAUAAAGCGGGUGAAAAGCCCGCUCGCCGGAAGACCAAGGGUUCCUGUCCAACGUUAAUCGGGGCAGGGUGAGUCGACCCCUAAGGCGAGGCCGAAAGGCGUAGUCGAUGGGAAACGGGUUAAUAUUCCCGUACUUGGUGUUACUGCGAAGGGGGACGGAGAAGGCUAUGUUGGCCGGGCGACGGUUGUCCCGGUUUAAGCGUGUAGGUGUGUGUUCCAGGUAAAUCCGGUUCACUUUAACACUGAGGCGUGACGACGAGGCACUACGGUGCUGAAGCAACAAAUGCCCUGCUUCCAGGAAAAGCCUCUAAGCAUCAGGUAACAUCAAAUCGUACCCCAAACCGACACAGGUGGUCAGGUAGAGAAUACCAAGGCGCUUGAGAGAACUCGGGUGAAGGAACUAGGCAAAAUGGUGCCGUAACUUCGGGAGAAGGCACGCUGACACGUAGGUGAAGUGAUUUACUCAUGGAGCUGAAGUCAGUCGAAGAUACCAGCUGGCUGCAACUGUUUAUUAAAAACACAGCACUGUGCAAACACGAAAGUGGACGUAUACGGUGUGACGCCUGCCCGGUGCCGGAAGGUUAAUUGAUGGGGUCAGCGCAAGCGAAGCUCCUGAUCGAAGCCCCGGUAAACGGCGGCCGUAACUAUAACGGUCCUAAGGUAGCGAAAUUCCUUGUCGGGUAAGUUCCGACCUGCACGAAUGGCGUAAUGAUGGCCAGGCUGUCUCCACCCGAGACUCAGUGAAAUUGAACUCGCUGUGAAGAUGCAGUGUACCCGCGGCAAGACGGAAAGACCCCGUGAACCUUUACUAUAGCUUGACACUGAACAUUGAGCCUUGAUGUGUAGGAUAGGUGGGAGGCUUUGAAGUGUGGACGCCAGUCUGCAUGGAGCCGACCUUGAAAUACCACCCUUUAAUGUUUGAUGUUCUAACGUGGACCCGUAAUCCGGGUUGCGGACAGUGUCUGGUGGGUAGUUUGACUGGGGCGGUCUCCUCCUAAAGAGUAACGGAGGAGCACGAAGGUUGGCUAAUCCUGGUCGGACAUCAGGAGGUUAGUGCAAUGGCAUAAGCCAGCUUGACUGCGAGCGUGACGGCGCGAGCAGGUGCGAAAGCAGGUCAUAGUGAUCCGGUGGUUCUGAAUGGAAGGGCCAUCGCUCAACGGAUAAAAGGUACUCCGGGGAUAACAGGCUGAUACCGCCCAAGAGUUCAUAUCGACGGCGGUGUUUGGCACCUCGAUGUCGGCUCAUCACAUCCUGGGGCUGAAGUAGGUCCCAAGGGUAUGGCUGUUCGCCAUUUAAAGUGGUACGCGAGCUGGGUUUAGAACGUCGUGAGACAGUUCGGUCCCUAUCUGCCGUGGGCGCUGGAGAACUGAGGGGGCUGCUCCUAGUACGAGAGGACCGGAGUGGACGCAUCACUGGUGUUCGGGUUGUCAUGCCAAUGGCACUGCCCGGUAGCUAAAUGCGGAAGAGAUAAGUGCUGAAAGCAUCUAAGCACGAAACUUGCCCCGAGAUGAGUUCUCCCUGAGACUUAGAGUCUCCUGAAGGAACGUUGAAGACGACGACGUUGAUAGGCCGGGUGUGUAAGCGCAGCGAUGCGUUGAGCUAACCGGUACUAAUGAACCGUGAGGCUUAACCUUACAACGCCGAAG